AGCUAGUUGGUGAGGUAACGGCCCACCAAGGCGACGAUCGGUAGCCGGACUGAGAGGUUGAACGGCCACAUUGGGACUGAGACACGGCCCAGACUCCUACGGGAGGCAGCAGUGGGGAAUAUUGCACAAUGGGGGAAACCCUGAUGCAGCGACGCCGCGUGGAGGAAGAAGGUCUUCGGAUUGUAAACUCCUGUUGUUGAGGAAGAUAAUGACGGUACUCAACAAGGAAGUGACGGCUAACUACGUGCCAGCAGCCGCGGUAAAACGUAGGUCACAAGCGUUGUCCGGAAUUACUGGGUGUAAAGGGAGCGCAGGCGGGAAGACAAGUUGGAAGUGAAAUCCAUGGGCUCAACCCAUGAACUGCUUUCAAAACUGUUUUUCUUGAGUAGUGCAGAGGUAGGCGGAAUUCCCGGUGUAGCGGUGGAAUGCGUAGAUAUCGGGAGGAACACCAGUGGCGAAGGCGGCCUACUGGGCACCAACUGACGCUGAGGCUCGAAAGUGUGGGUAGCAAACAGGAUUAGAUACCCUGGUAGUCCACACCGUAAACGAUGAUUACUAGGUGUUGGAGGAUUGACCCCUUCAGUGCCGCAGUUAACACAAUAAGUAAUCCACCUGGGGAGUACGACCGCAAGGUUGAAACUCAAAGGAAUUGACGGGGGCCCGCACAAGCAGUGGAGUAUGUGGUUUAAUUCGACGCAACGCGAAGAACCUUACCAAGUCUUGACAUCCUGCGACGGACAUAGAAAUAUGUUUUUCCUUCGGGACGCAGAGACAGGCGGUGCAUGGUUGUCGUCAGCUCGUGUCGUGAGAUGUUGGGUUAAGUCCCGCAACGAGCGCAACCCUUAUGGUCAGUUACUACGCAAGAGGACUCUGGCCAGACUGCCGUUGACAAAACGGAGGAAGGUGGGGAUGACGUCAAAUCAUCAUGCCCUUUAUGACUUGGGCUACACACGUACUACAAUGGCGUUAAACAAAGAGAAGCAAGACCGCGAGGUGGAGCAAAACUCAGAAACAACGUCCCAGUUCGGACUGCAGGCUGCAACUCGCCUGCACGAAGUCGGAAUUGCUAGUAAUCGUGGAUCAGCAUGCCACGGUGAAUACGUUCCCGGGCCUUGUACACACCGCCCGUCACACCAUGAGAGCCGGGGGGACCCGAAGUCGGUAGUCUAACCGCAAGGAGGACGCCGCCGAAGGUAAAACUGGUGAUUGGGGUGAAGUCGUAACAAGGUAGCCGUAGGAGAACCUGCGGCUG
rnacentral:rRNA from 1 species